rnacentral:rRNA from 2 species
CGGUUGAUCCUGCCGGAGGCCAUUGCUAUCGGAGUCCGAUUUAGCCAUGCUAGUUGCACGGGUUUAGACCCGUGGCGAAAAGCUCAGUAACACGUGGCCAAGCUACCCUGUGGACCGGAAUACCCUCGGGAAACUGAGGAUAAUUCCGGAUAACGCUCCCCUAUUGGAAUAUGGGGAGCCGGAAACGCUCAGGCGCUAAUCAGAUUAUGUCUGAUUGCGCAACGAGACGCUUCGCGUCUCGUCCGCGCCACAGGAUGCGGCUGCGGCCGAUUAGGUAGACGGUGGGGUAACGGCCCACCGUGCCUAUAAUCGGUACGGGUUGUGAGAGCAAGAGCCCGGAGACGGAAUCUGAGACAAGAUUCCGGGCCCUACGGGGCGCAGCAGGCGCGAAACCUUUACACUGCACGACAGUGCGAUAGGGGGACUCCGAGUGCGAGGGCAUAGAGCCCUCGCUUUUCUGUACCGUAAAGUGGUACAGGAAGAAGGGCUGGGCAAGACCGGUGCCAGCCGCCGCGGUAAUACCGGCAGCCCAAGUGAUGGCCGAUAUUAUUGGGCCUAAAGCGUCCGUAGCUGGCCGGACAAGUCCGUUGGGAAAUCCGCACGCUUAACGUGCGGGCGUCCAGCGGAAACUGUCCGGCUUGGGACCGGAAGACCCGAGGGGUACGUCCGGGGUAGGAGUGAAAUCCUGUAAUCUCGGGCGGACCACCUGUGGCGAAAGCGCCUCGGGAAGACGGAUCCGACAGUGAGGGACGAAAGCCAGGGUCUCGAACCGGAUUAGAUACCCGGGUAGUCCUGGCCGUAAACGAUGUCCGCUAGGUGUGACGCAGGCUACGAGCCUGCGUUGUGCCGUAGGGAAGCCGUGAAGCGGACCGCCUGGGAAGUACGUCUGCAAGGAUGAAACUUAAAGGAAUUGGCGGGGGAGCAC